CUUUGCUCGGCCCGUGUCUUACCCGGACUUGUCGGCCAUGUUGAAGGCAAGCCUCGACUCGGAGCACAAUUUUUGCGACUACAUAGCGAAAAUUAUAAGUGUUUGACUAAAAUAGCGGCACACAAGGGGAGAUCAUCCACCACUGUACAGCCACUAAAGACAGCCUAUGAAGACUUCCCACUUGACCUCCUGCACAACCUGUUUGAAGGUGUUGUUCCAGUGGAGUUGGCGCAUUGCUUAAAAGUGUCUGACUAAAGAAGCAGAACAGAAACAUCAGCAGAUCUCCCCAGCCCUUCAGCCAAUGUAUAGAAACUUCAGAUUCAGAUGGAUGCAGCAGGGAUACUGAAGCUAAGGGUCAUCCUUGAUAAUGAUAAUGCUGAAAGACUUAUUUUGCCAUCUCGUCCAUCCAGUGUCCAAGCCCUCAUAGAUGAGAUCAAAUCUAGGCUAAAGUUGACUUUUGACUUUCGGCUUCAGUUUCACGACCCAGAUUUUGAUAAUGCAUUGUGUAAUUUGGUUGUAAUAGAAGACCUGCCAGGCACAGCAUCUGUUAAAGUUGUCAGAUUAGUUGAGCUGGACCAGAUUUCAACCAAUACUGAUGACACAAUCAUUCUGACUGAUAGCACUGAUACCACAGAUUCACCAGAGUGUAUUAGUCGGUGGCCAGAGGUUUUUAUUGUUCCGAUAUUUUUUUAUGAGGUAGAACAUGUGCUAAGGGAAGGUAAUGCAGCAUUUGAAAAGGAUGAGAAAGUAAUUACACUAACUAGAGAUCACAAACACAACAUACUCGAGACAAUGGGGGAAGAAAUCUGCAGACUAAAGGCAUAUCCUAGUAGCACACAAAUUGGCAAGGCUGAAGAAGUUUUAGUUAGAAAGCAUCCCUGUCUGAAGGAGAGAAAUUCUGACACUGGGUGGGACGGAUGGAAGAAUAGUCUGAGACAUAAAGUAGGAAACCAGAGAAAGAAGUUAGCUAAAGCUGGCAUCAAGGAUGUUGCUAUAAAUGCUGGAAAGCACAGCAGAACAAAUCCACAAGGAGCUGCACCAAGGGCGAAUAUCAAAAGACCUAGGAGAGGUGAGGUCAACUUCCUUCUCAGUUAUCCUUCUGGAGAAACAAGGGAGUCUCUGGAGACUGGAGGCUUGAGAUGGUAGAGCAGUACAAGAGGACCUCUGCAGAAAGAGACAUCCCUCUUAUUAAUCAGCACAUGAUGUGCACCUUUGCCCUCUGACAUGAAGAGAUCAUCACAACUUCUCCUGCUGUGUCAGAGCUUAAGGACAGAUGGCCAGCACUCUUUUAUGAGAUGCAGCUCUACUGUGAAUUUCACCUGAUCACCAAUCAGCAUCUACCUCGUGUUUUAUGCUGCACUGGAUGAAUAUCGUUGGUUACGUACUGUAACCCCAGAUUCUACGAGUAUAGGCGCAGCCCUUUAAGGCCAUCGCUAGUGGGUUUAUCCCUUCGCGCGCAGCGCAGCACUGAAAACUUUAGUCC